UGAACAGCCAAUGUAUGACAUAAUCCAGACUUUGUCCACUUGAGAAACCGAUGAUGAGAUCAUUAGCCGUCAUUCAGAACUCUAGGAGUUUGUUCUUCUUUAAAUCUUUAUCAGUUAUAAACCUGGCCCGAGGAGAAAGCCUUGAUCUGCGCAGUGCUGAGAGUCAGAUGUAGAGGCUUUGUAUCCUACACUUGUAUAUAAUGAAGGAGUACUGUGGGACCAGGAGACCGCAGAAAGAGCCUGCUGCUCAUUGGAUUUCAUUGGAUUUCUAAGGGGUGGAGGCAACAAAACCAAAACUGCGGCCCAUUGAAUUUACUCGAGAGUUUCUUUAUAAUUAGCCAUGCAAGCUUCAGUGACAACACAAUAUGCAGAGCCGAGUGCUUAGCCAAAGUUUGCCAAUUUUGACUGAGGGCUCGAAGGAGGCUCCUUGUGUGGCAAGAGUGAUCACACAGUUAAUAUUCAAAGGCUAGUGCCUUGUAAAAGAAGUUCUCUAAAAGAACCUGACAAAGCGUGUCCAGCAGACAAUGGGACAUCACUAAAUAGGCUGUAUAUAUAGCAAAGAAAAGAGGGCUUUGGCACUGUCGUCAUGUAUACAGUCUAGUGGGGGUUUGGUUUACAUUGGCCACACCCCAUUCCCAGCCUCCCCCUUUCCCAACAACCACUUUUUAAACCAGGCUGAACAAUAGGAGAAGAACAUAAAGAAGAAACUUUAGGUUUUGGUCUCGAUAAUGAAAGUUGCAAGAGGUCUACUAGUGGUCUAUGAGUAAUACAAUCAAAUCACUGAGGCUUCUUAAUAGUUUUGGUGGCUCCACCAAAGUGGAGAGUUUGAGAACUAGCCAAUAAUUCGAAAACGUACAAAAGUGAGAAAGACCUGGUUGACAGCACCAUUAAUAAAGCCAAAGCGUUCCCAGUUAGAUCAGUGCACGUAACCGGAUGAAGUGAAUCCUAUAUGUAUAGGAAAUCCA
ensembl:lncRNA